GCCGGGGUGGCGAAAUUGGUCAUACGCGCACGACUUAAGAUCGUGUUCCGUAAGGAGUGAGGGUUCGAGUCCCUCCCCCGGCA
rnacentral:tRNA from 1 species